CCUACGGGUGGCAGCAGUGGGGGAUAUUGCACAAUGGGGGAAACGCUGAUGCAGCGACGCCGCGUGGGGGAAGAAGUAGUUCGGUAUGUAAAGCUCUAUCAGCAGGGAAGAAGAAAUGACGGUACCUGAGUAAGAAGCACCGGAUAAAUACGUGCCAGCAGCCGCGGUAAUACGUAGGGCGCAAGCGUUAUCCGGAUGUACUGGGUGUAAAGGGAGCGCAGGCGGCACGGCAAGCCUGAUGUGAAAGCCCGCGGCCCAACCGCGGGACUGCAUUUGAAACUGCCGGGCUGGAGUGCCGGAGAGGUAGGCGGAAUGCCUAGUGUAGCGGUGAAAUGCGUAGAUAUUAGGCGGAACACCGGUGGCGAAGGCGGCCUACUGGACGGUGACUGACGCUGAGGCUCGAAAGCGUGGGGAGCAAAUAGGAUUAGAUACCCCUGUAGUC
rnacentral:rRNA from 1 species